rnacentral:rRNA from 1 species
UGGGGAAUAUUGCACAAUGGAGGGAACUCUGAUGCAGCGACGCCGCGUGAGUGAAGAAGGUCUUCGGAUCGUAAAACUCUGUCCUUGGUGACGAAGAAAAUGACGGUAGCCAAGGAGGAAGCCCCGGCUAACUACGUGCCAGCAGCCGCGGUAAUACGUAGGGGGCGAGCGUUGUCCGGAUUUACUGGGCGUAAAGGGUGAGUAGGCGGUUAUAUAUGUCAGGUGUAAAAAGCUAUGGCUUAACCAUAGUAAGCACUUGAAACUGUAUGACUUGAGUGCAGGAGAGGUAAGCGGAAUUCCUAGUGUAGCGGUGAAAUGCGUAGAUAUUAGGAGGAACACCGGUGGCGAAGGCGGCUUACUGGACUGUAACUGACGCUGAGUCACGAAAGCGUGGGUAGCA